UGCAUAGCUGGAAUAGCCUUGGGUUGUGUUGUGAAACCUACUGUAUAGACACCCCCCUUCCCCUCGGCACUGCAGAGAGAGAGAGAGAGAGAGAGAGAGAGAGACUAGACCGGCAGGCCCACCACCAAGCGAUGGGCCCCAGCAAGCGAGACCCAGAGCCUUCCAGAAGGGGCUUGCUGGGCACAGCAAUGCACCCCGAUUUCCAAGAGCCCAGAGCUCCACUGGCCAACUCCUCUUUGACCUCUGGGCCGAGGCAGGCAGGACCCCCAGGCUCGGACUGGGCUGGAAGGAGAAAGAUGCCGCCUUCCUUCUCUCCAGGACCCGCUCCCUAAGACGCCUCAGAGGCCAGGGCACACAGAAGAAAGACCCCCAAAAAGUCUAUCUGUGCACUGAACUCAGGUAUAAGAAGGAUGCUUUCCCAGAAGCGGGGAUCCCAAGACCCAGCGGAGGCAGCUGCAUCUCUGGAGAAAAAUCACCAUCCUGGGGUUCCUGCCUGCUGCCUGCGGGG